rnacentral:pre_miRNA from 13 species
GAGACAGUUUUGGGCUGCGUGUCAGGAGUGCAUUUGCACUGAAACAUUCUGAAAGCUUGUAAAUGCACUAUCUGGUACGACAUUCCAGAACGUACAAUCUU